GCACGAGUCACGUGACAGCUCUCCCACCACCCCCCCCCCCCCGCCCCAACUUCCCCACCGCAGCCUCCCAGAGCCAGGCCCCACGGAAAGGCAGCUUUUUCCCGGUUUUCUCCCGCUCUUUCCCCUCCACUUGGAAUACUCGUGAAACAAAAAUCUCUCCCUGCCACCCUGUGUGUGUUUGAACCAGGAAAAAAUCUGAAACUGGUCAAGAAAGAACAAGGAAGACUUGCCAAAGCAAGGCCGACUCUUGAGCAGUAUAAAGUUUUCAUCAAGUCAAAUAUAUUCACUUUAAAGUGACUGUGCUUUAUUCUGAUACCAUGUCCUUCAUAAUUUUGGGGGCACAGCUGGAGAAAAUUCACUGGCAAUGGAAUAUUUAAAAUUAGAGCUUGCUUAGUGUGCUGCUUCUGAUCACUACUUGAUCCCACUUCGUGCUUUCAUGUUAAUUGGCCCAAUUGGACUCUACAGUUGGAAGGUGAAAACUUACUAUUUCAACUUGAGUCAU